rnacentral:rRNA from 1 species
AUUGAACGCUGGCGGCAUGCUUUACACAUGCAAGUCGAACGGUAGAGGGGGCAACCCCUUGAGAGUGGCGAACGGGUGAGUAAUGCAUCGGAACGUGCCCAGUCGUGGGGGAUAACGCAGCGAAAGCUGUGCUAAUACCGCAUACGAUCUGUGGAUGAAAGCGGGGGACCGAAAGGCCUCGCGCGAUUGUAGCGGCCGAUGUCAGAUUAGGUAGUUGGUGGGGUAAAGGCUCACCAAGCCAACGAUCUGUAGCUGGUCUGAGAGGACGACCAGCCAAACUGGGACUGAGACACGGCCCAGACUCCUACGGGAGGCAGCAGUGGGGAAUUUUGGACAAUGGGCGCAAGCCUGAUCCAGCAAUGCCGCGUGCAGGAAGAAGGCCUUCGGGUUGUAAACUGCUUUUGUACGGAACGAAAAGGUCUGGGUUAAUACCCUGGGCACAUGACGGUACCGUAAGAAUAAGCACCGGCUAACUACGUGCCAGCCGCCGCAGUAA